AGCGAACGCUGGCGGCAGGCCUAACACAUGCAAGUCGAGCGCCCCGCAAGGGGAGCGGCAGACGGGAGAGUAACACGUGGGAACGUACCCUUUGGUUCGGAACAACCCAGGGAAACUUGGGCUAAUACCGGAUAAGCCCUUACGGGGAAAGAUUCAUCGCCGAGGGAUCGGCCCGCGUCUGAUUAGCUAGUUGGUGGGGUAACGGCCCACCAAGGCGACGAUCAGUAGCUGGUCUGAGAGGAUGAUCAGCCACAUUGGGACUGAGACACGGCCCAAACUCCUACGGGAGGCAGCAGUGUGGAAUAUUGGACAAUGGGCGCAAGCCUGAUCCAGCCAUGCCGCGUGGGUGAUGAAGGCCCUAGGGUUGUAAAGCCCUUUCGGCGGGGAAGAUAAUGACGGUACCCGCAGAAGAAGCCCCGGCUAACUUCGUGCCAGCCGCCGCAGUAA
rnacentral:rRNA from 1 species